CUAAUCAGAUUCAUCUACAGCACGAUUUCUACACCUUCAAGAUGGAUGAAUCUAAGUUUAUGGAUAAGAAUAUAGACGAUUUCUUGAAGAUGUUUUCUGCUUUGAAUAGUGUUGAUGUUUCGGUCUCUGAAGAAGUUCAAGCUAUUCUAAUGUUGAAUUCUUUGCCUCUGCAGUACAAUAGUUUAAAUGAAACACUAAAGUACGGUAAAGAAAUUCUUUCUCUGGAAAACAUUUGUGAUUGUGCAAAGUCAAAGGAGAAGGAACUGAGAGAAGCAAAGCAACUCAAUGUUUCUCAGAAGAGCGGUGAAGCGUACACUGCUUGAGGAAGAUCCGAGAAGAGAGAGUCACAUGGUGGUAAAGGAAAGAAUAGAUCAAGGUCUCAGUCUGGUUUAAAGGUCACAUACUGGAACUGUAGAUUCCCUUCUUUCUUACAGGUCUAAGUCUGGUUCAAAUCAAUCUUUCUUUACAUGCCCUUCUUUCUUUCUUUCUUCACAGAUAUCUCGGGUGGUCAAGUUCUUCUUGCUGAUGAUAGAGCUGUCACGGUUCAAGGAGUUGGUUCCAUCAAGAUCAAGGCAACCGGAGGAUUAGUCACGCAGCUGAAAAACGUCUGAUAUGUUCCUAAUCUUAAAAGAAAUCUAAUUUCUGUUUCUACUCUUGAUUUGCAGGGUUUCACACAUGAAGGUGGUGAUGGGAAGACAAAGUUCUUCAAAAAUGGUAAAGUUGCACUGCAGGGCACCCUUACCGGAAGCUUAACGCAGGAGUCUAUACUGCUAUGUCUAAAGAUGAGACUGUGUUAUGGCAUAGCAGAUUAGGCCACAUGAAUAUGAAGAAUCUGAAGAUUUUGGUUGAGAAGGGUGUUCUUAACAAGAAGAGAAUCGGGAACAUGGAGUUCUGUGAAAUCUGCGUGGUGGGGAAGAAUAAGAAGCUGAGUUUCAGCAUUGGGAAGUACAGAGGAGGUUCUCAAAUACGUUCAUGCGGACUUAUGGGGUUCUCCUAAUGUCCAUUUUUUUUUCUCAAUGAAGCAGUAUAGAUGACUACUCUUGGAAGAUGCACCAGAGAAUCACAAGGUGAUAGGCUGUAAGUGGGUUUAUAAACUCAAGCCUGGGAUUCCUAGUGUUGAGGCUCCCAGAUAUAAGGCAAGGUUAGUUGCCAAAGGCUAUGCUCAGAGAGAGGGUAUACAUUAUCAAGAAAUCUUCUCACCGGAGGUUAAGCAUGUCUCGAUUUUUAUGAUGUUAUCAAGGACAAUGAAUGAGGAUCUAUAAUUGGAGCAGCUAGAUGCAAACACGGUGUUUCUACAUGGAAAUAUUGAAGAGGAUAUUUACAUGGAUCAACCGGAGGGAUAUGAGGUCAAAGGUCAGAAGGAAAAGGUUUGUCAUCUUCGUAAGUCUCUGUUAUGGCUUGAAACAAGCCUUGAGGUAGUGGAAUAGGUGCUUUGGUCAGUUCAUGUUGAAGCAUGGAUUUGUUAAGAGUAAAUUUGAUAUGUGCGUUUAUCUGAAGAAACUUGGAGGCAAGGUAUGUGUCUAUCUCCUUCAAUACGUAGAUGACAUGUUGAUAGCCUCUAAAGAGAUGUAUGAGAUCAUUAAGGUGAAGAAAUUUCUGAGUAGUGAGUUUGAUAUAAAAUAUUUAGAUCCUGCAAAACAAAAUCUUAGGUAUGGAUAUAGAGAGAGAUAGAAUAGGUGGAGUACUUACACUUUCUCAGUCUGGUUACAUAAAGAAGAUUCUACAAGUUUUCAGGAUGGAUGAAUCAAAGUCUGUAUCAACUCCUAUAGGAGAACAUUUCAAGCGUGCCUCAUUAGGAAAUGGAGAGGAUGAUGAAGUGAGAAGUGAAUUUCCUUAUUCAAGUGUUGUUGGCAGCAUUAUGUAUGCAAUGGGCACCAGGCCAGAUCUUGCUUAUGUUGUUGGUCUGGUAAGCAGGUUUAUGAGUAAUCCAGGAAAAGUUCAUUGGACGGCUGUACAGUGGAUUCUCAGGUAUUUUAAAAGGACUCAGGACAGAGGUUUAGUUUUCAGGAAGACUUCAGGGGAUUUCAAAGUUGAGGUUAUAGUGAUUCAGAUUUUGUUGGAGAUUUGGAUUGAAGAAGGUCGAUUUCAGGUUAUGUGUUUACUGCAGGUGGUAAUACGAUCAGCUGGAGAUCGGGAUUACAACAGGUUGUAGCAUUGUCGACUACAGAGGCUGAAUAUGUGGCCUUAACGGAGGCAGUUAAGGAGGGUAUUUGGCUGAAAGGCUUAGCAGAUUAAAUGGGUUUCAAGCAGCAGGUUGUGGCUGUGAAUUGUGAUCACAAAGUGUUAUCUGUCUAGCGAAGAAUAAUGUCUAUCACAAAAGAACAAAACACAUGGUAGUGAAAAUGAUAUAGUUGACUUGGAGAAAUAAGUGUUCAGAAGAUUCAUACUUCGAAGAAUCAUGCUGAUAUACUUACCAAGGUGAUUCUUGUUCAGAAGUUUGAGGCUACGCUUAAUGGCUUGAGGAGAUAGACUCGGAAAUGUUUGUGUCAAGGUGGAGUUUGUUGAAAUGUGACACAGUCACUUAUAUUAGUCAAAACCAGUUUUAGUUUAUGAUUUGGUACAAGCUCUAACUAGGUGAUCAUAGUAAUUUGAUUAGAACCGGUUACUGUCAUGUGUAUCAGCUUGGUUCAAUCUCUGAACCAAGGAGCUAAAUGAGUCUAUGUGUAUAAGUGAGCUGAGAGAUGAUUCUGCAGAGUUGUUGGGAAUCAUUCUUCUUCUUGCUCUGGAUCUGGUACGUUUUUGAUCUAGUGGAAUUCUUGCUAGCUUGAGAAAACAAGCCCCAGAGACGUAGCUUCGGCGAACCCUGGGUUAACAAAUCGUGUUUGUCUUUUACUUUCUUUCUAUCUUGCUUAAUCUCAUGAUUGUUCUUAUUGGAGUUCAUAGACGAAUGAGAUUAGUGAGGAAUUGAGCAGAGGGAUAGGGUUCGAUUCUUGGUUUCUAUCGCAACAUUGAUGAUUCUGAUAAAUCAGUUUCAUAAUUUGUACUUCUUUGGCUACUACAGUCAAAUACCUGUUUAUCAUGUUCUUCCAUUGAUUCUGCAAGUAAUAUUUAAGUUCAAUGAUCAUAUUUAUAUUCAGGUUUUAGUAUAAUCAUGAUUUAAUAAUUUACCUUCUGUUUUAUAGUCAUAAUUUCAGUAACUUCCUUCUUUUUGUGAUUGUAGCACCUCUUAAUGUUCAUUGACAAAUGCAGCUUGCUCUGAUCUAGAAUUUCGAGUAGGUCUUGCUGAACUUGAUGGUAAGUUUGUAAUGUCAUUAAGUACAUUGUUAGAUUGCCUUCUGAAAUCUCUAAAACCAUUUAUCUGUGUAGUGGUCAAUCCUUUAAAGCUGUUCUGUUUUGCUAUAUAAGAAAAACAUGUGAUUAAUUUUGAUUUGAAGUUUUCAUUCAGCAUUUAAAUGUGUUAGAAAAAAAGUUAUAAUUAUUUCAACAACUUACAUGAAUCUUGUUCACUCUUACGAUUCUUUUUAGGAGCUUUAUGUUGGGAUUUAUGAGACAAAGGCAUUCACUUGAUGAAUGAAACCACUUAACCCACAUUAAGAACUCGAUCUCAAUAGUGAGGAACCAAUCAACUUGUGAUGGAGAGAAUCGAUCUUAACAAGGGAAAAAUACUCUAGUUAAGUAACACAACACUUAGAGUUUGUGUACUUAGAGAAAGAAAAAUUUUGAAUCAGUAAGCUAGAGAUUAAGGAGAGAAUAAAGAAGAGUUUAUGUGAUUUUUACAAGUAUUAGGCUGCCUUAAUGCAUCCUCUAAACCGUGGCUCACUAAACUCACUACAUUAUGAUUAUUGAUUAAGCAUAAGAAGAAGAGAAAGAGCAACACGAAAUGAAGAG
rnacentral:lncRNA from 1 species